rnacentral:rRNA from 1 species
AAUUGUCUUGUAAUUGGAAUGAUGGUGACCUAAACCCUCACCAGAGUAACAAUUGGAGGGCAAGUCUGGUGCCAGCAGCCGCGGUAAUUCCAGCUCCAAUAGCGUAUAUUAAACUUGUUGCAGUUAAAAAGCUCGUAGUUGAAUUUUUGCGUGGUGUUAACAUUGACUGAUGUCGAGAUUGCACUUCGCUUUUGGGAUUUUUCCCUUUUUACUUUGAGAAAAUUAGAGUGUUUCAAGCAGACUUUUGUCUUGAAUACUUCAGCAUGGAAUAAUAGAGUAGGACUUUGGUUCUAUUUUGUUGGUUUGUGAACCUUAGUAAUGGUUAAUAGGAACGGUUGGGGGCAUUCGUAUUUA